rnacentral:tRNA from 1 species
UGUUCUAUGGCCGAACUGGUAAAGGCAUCGCCGAUCACAGGCGAGGCUACGGGUUCGAGUCCCGCUGGAACGG